UUUUAUUAGGUUUUCAUUCUCAUCUCAUCAGACCUCAAUCCUCAUUCUCGUAAAUGGAGGCUGCGUCGAAUUGAAGAAUCAGCAGAGCUAGGGCGUGUGGGGGUUGUGGCUGCGUCGAAGAAUCAGCAGAGCAGAGAGGCCGAGGCAGCCACGGCGAGGCUGAGGCAGGGGCAGUGAGGCGGAGAAGGAGGCGCAAAGUGAGGCGGCGACCGGCGAGGGCAGAGGCGGAGGCGGCGACUGGCGAGGGCAGAGGCGGAGGCGGCGAGGCGACCGGCGAGGGCAGAGGCGACCACCGACUGUCUUUCCAGUUUCCAUUUUGGUAGGGAAGAAGAAGAAACGGGAAAAGGAGGAAGAAAAUAGAAGUCUGAUGGCUUGUGCAUUACUUGUCUUUCAAGAUAAAGAUUUGUGAAGCUCCACAACACUUCAAACGCCCUAGGGUACUUUUACCUUUGUUCUUAUUUUGUGUUUGAGUAUAGUAAUUGAGAUUUCCUUGUUUGGUA